GCCGAGGUAGCUCAGUUGGUAGAGCAUUUGACUGAAAAUCAAAGGGUCCCCAGUUCAAGUCUGGGCCUCGGCACCA
rnacentral:tRNA from 2 species